UGUCAAUGGGCAUCAAUUCAAGCAUCGAGUUCCUCAAAGAGACUUUCCCACGUUGCUCGACACCAGAAUCUCUCACGUGCAAGGAAACAGUUGUCGAUGAGAACCUCAUCUGCGCUGAGGUCAAUAGGUCACUGGUCCAACAAACACUGGCAGCUGUCAACUCCUCCGCAGCCUUGUGCUCUUUUACCAUCACUGAACA